rnacentral:rRNA from 1 species
AGAGUUUGAUCCUGGCUCAGGAUGAACGCUGGCGGCGUGCCUAAUACAUGCAAGUCGAGCGAAUUGAUUAAGAGCUUGCUCUUAUGAAGUUAGCGGCGGACGGGUGAGUAACACGAGGGUAACCUGCCCAUAAGACUGGGAUAACUCCGGGAAACCGGGGCUAAUACCGGAUAACAUUUUGAACUGCAUGGUUCGAAAUUGAAAGGCGGCUUCGGCUGUCACUUAUGGAUGGACCCGCGUCGCAUUAGCUAGUUGGUGAGGUAACGGCUCACCAAGGCAACGAUGCGUAGCCGACCUGAGAGGGUGAUCGGCCACACUGGGACUGAGACACGGCCCAGACUCCUACGGGAGGCAGCAGUAGGGAAUCUUCCGCAAUGGACGAAAGUCUGACGGAGCAACGCCGCGUGAGUGAUGAAGGCUUUCGGGUCGUAAAACUCUGUUGUUAGGGAAGAACAAGUGCUAGUUGAAUAAGCUGGCACCUUGACGGUACCUAACCAGAAAGCCACGGCUAACUGCGUGCCAGCAGCCGCGGUAAUACGUAGGUGGCAAGCGUUAUCCGGAAUUAUUGGGCGUAAAGCGCGCGCAGGUGGUUUCUUAAGUCUGAUGUGAAAGCCCACGGCUCAACCGUGGAGGGUCAUUGGAAACUGGGAGACUUGAGUGCAGAAGAGGAAAGUGGAAUUCCAUGUGUAGCGGUGAAAUGCGUAGAGAUAUGGAGGAACACCAGUGGCGAAGGCGACUUUCUGGUCUGUAACUGACACUGAGGCGCGAAAGCGUGGGGAGCAAACAGGAUUAGAUACCCU